UGAAAAUGUCCACAAUAUUUCGAUGAUAUUAUCAGAAAAUUUCUAUUUCCGACUUCGAAAACGGGGGCAAAGAAAAAUCUUCCAUGGUAUCCGGGAUAUUGUCAAAGAUAUUCAUAAAUAUUGGUGAUAUCAUCAAUACCAGUAAAUAUAGGCUGUGAGAUAGUCAAGAACUGACGAGAUUUACCGAUAAUAUCGUCAAUUUAUCGUGGAUACCUAGUGAAGAGAUGAUGAGAAACCCUUAGGGUGUGUUUGGUUCAUGGCAUUGGCCAGGAUAGGAUGGGAUUGUGUCCCAAGCAUGAUGUUUGGUUUGCCAUUUUGAGUUCAGGACAACUUAACCUAAACAGUGAUUUUAUCCCAUUCGAUUGGGACUCAUGUGACCCGUCUCCCCCCCGGAUCAUUUUUGUCCCAAACUCACCGAAGCAGCUCUACUCUCUCUCAUAAUGUCUCUCGCCGAAGCAGCUCCUCACCGGAUCGCGUCUCUCUCUCGCCGGACGUCUGCAUCUCUCCCAGGCACAAACACGGCCGUACCAAAAAAAAAAAAAAAAUGAAGAAAAGGGAGAAACAGAGAAGAUGUGGUGGAGGUUCAUGAGAUUGAUGAUAGCGAAAAACAGAGAAGAUGCUGUUGAGUAUGAUGAAGAUGAUGAUGAUGGUGAUGAAGACAAUAAUGAGGAUGAAGAGGUUGACAAUGAUGAGGGGGAUUUUGCUGAAUCUGAGAGCACAGGGAGGUUGACAAGCACUGAAGGAAAAAAUUGAUGGCCAUGAACAAGGAGAGGAUGAUCGAGAUGAAGAUGAUAAUGGUAGCUUUAUUUUAGACCUACUAGCUAUAAGCUAAUGUGGAUGCAACAUCCAUUUAUGAAUAUUUUUUUUCAAACACUUGCUUUAUCAAUGAUUUCAUACAAUGCCUUUGAUUUGAUAUGUUGAUUUCUUUAACUGUUUGAGGUAAUGAAUAUACAUUUGUGAGA